rnacentral:misc_RNA from 1 species
GAUGAAGAACGUAGUGAAAUGCGAUAAGUAAUGUGAAUUGCAGAAUUCAGUGAAUCAUCGAAUCUUUGAACGCAUCUUGCGCUCCUUGGUAUUCCUUGGAGCAUGCCUGUUUGAGUAUCAUGAGCGAAUCUCAAAGUCAAUUCCUUUUGUUAAUUCAAUUGGUUUUGCUUUGGACUUGGAGGUCUUGCAGAUUUUCACAGUCUGCUCCUCUUAAAUGCAUUAGCUGGAUCUCAGUAAUUAUGCUUGGUUCCACUCGGCGUGAUAAGUAUCACUCGCUGAGGACACUGUUAAAAAGGUGGCCAGGAAAAUACUGAUUGAACCGCUUCUAACGGUCUAUUAAGUUAGACAAUUACCCUUAAGUUUGAUCUCAAAUCAGGUAGGACUACCCGCUGAACUUAAGCAUAUCAAUAAGCGGAGGA